AGGAAAGUCAGAGAGAAAAAAAGAACAUAAAAAAAAUAGAGGAAAAGAAGGCAGGUCAUCCUGUUGCCGUCGAGAAAGGCCGCGAAGGCGGUGGAGAAGCAUCGGAGAGAGAAAAAAAAAACGUAACAAAAAAAGAAGAGAGAGAAAAGAAUAAUGAUAUAUUGGUUAGUUUUCUAAAAAUUCAGACCGAAUCUGUAAAAUCGAAAAUAGUGACCUAGUUUUGCAAAAGUUAAAAUUUUGUAAAUUUUUUAUGCAAAUUGGCGUACGUAAAUU
rnacentral:lncRNA from 1 species